rnacentral:rRNA from 1 species
UACGACGGGUGCAAGCGUUACUCGGAAUUACUGGGCGUAAAGGGUGCGUAGGCGGUUCGUUAAGUCUGUCGUGAAAUCCCCGGGCUCAACCUGGGAAUGGCGAUGGAUACUGGCGAGCUAGAGUGUGUCAGAGGAUGGUGGAAUUCCCGGUGUAGCAGUGAAAUGCGUAGAGAUCGGGAGGAACAUCUGUGGCGAAGGCGGCCAUCUGGACCAGCACUGACACUGAGGCACGAAAGCGUGGGGAGCAAACAGG